CCCAGCCGACUCGAUGCUUCGAAACGUUCUCACAACAUGGUUUUUUGAUUUUAAUUAUUUCAAGACCUUCGAAAAUCUUUUCUCGUGGUCUCUUUCGCAACAAAUAAUUUCGUUCGAACGACUCGAAGUAUCGACUGGCAUUAGAAAUGGUGAUUAUUCACAAUAUGUAUAAAUGCAUAAUCGGAGAUACAGUAAUACUUUUCAACAUGCACAACUAUCAAUGCGUAACUAAACUAAUGCAAUAAGAGUGGUCAACGAUCACAUCGUUUCGCCGAUAAUGACGAUUAUGAAUUUUUAAUGUCAAUGACGAUGACAUGCGUAAGUAUCGUGAUCCCAGGUCAUUAACGAAUCGUGGACGAAAGUCUCGAGAAAGCACGUUACUAAUGAUCUACAUAUACGACUAUAUUUUUUUUUAUUCCCAAAGCUCGUGGACACCGGAAGGAUAGAAGAUUCGAAGAAGCGAGUGUCAAGCCGAACGAUUGUUCAUAGUAGAAUCGAGAACAAGUCAUUUAUAAAUUUCAAGUUGGAUUAAUUCGAGACUGAAGAUUCUCGAGAAUUUCGUCAUUCUCUUCGACGGACCUCGACCAAGAAAAACUUCCACGACUCCGUUAACACGUCCCGAUGCCAACCUGGCACUUCGCAAGUGCAAGGACAGAGAAAAUCGUGUAAAGAAGCAAAAACAACCAGACCAAAUUUCUUCCUACGGAAUCAUCGUUGACAAUACCCAGUAUGUGUUGCUAGUAGUACACGUGUUUUCGCACAGAGGGAUACUUGUAGUUCCUUUUUUUUAAUGCAAAAAAAAUACAUCAAAACCAGAUAGCACUCA